rnacentral:lncRNA from 1 species
CGGCGUGCCGGAUCGAGUGUGCCUGCGUGCUUAGUCGCUCAGUCGUGGCCGACUCUUUUGCAACCAUUUGGACUGGAGCCCACCAGGCUCCUCUGUCCAUGGGAUUCUCCAGGCAAGAAUACCGCAGUGGGUUGCUGUUUCUUCCUCCAGGGGAUCUUCCCAACCCAGGGAUCAAACCAGUGUAAAUACCAAGAGACUUCUACGCUGGAUCAGCUGUCCAUAAAUUCUAAAGCUCCACAGAUUCCAGACCGGUGGGAGGAGCACCCAGGCCUUCGUCCAGUGCCCGUGACUGCUUCUGACCGCAGCCCAGUUAACAAGACCGUGGGGCACCAUUGUUACUUAACCGGGCGCAUCCACGGUGCUCAUGAUUGUACGUCCAGUUGAGUGAAUCUUCUUUAAACCGUGAAGACCUAUAUCAAGCUCCAUCUGAACUCCGUCUCCUUCUUUUUUUUUUAAUCAUUAAGAACUGAGACUUUUUAUUGUAGUAAAAU